AAAAAACAGAAAAGUCCACAUUUCUAAGCUGGUUACAACAGAGUAUGCAGCAAACCUUUGUGGAAAUGCAAUCUGCAGCUAUGCAGUCGGCUCAGGCAUCUGUUGCUCAGGAUUUACAGUUGGUAAAACAAUCCAAGAAAAGGCCGAGAUCAUGGGAAGAUUCAGAUGCAAGCUCAGGUACUUGUGCUUCUGAUUCUAGAGAUGAUUCCUCUAGUGAUUCUUCUGAGGAGGAAUUUGCCUUUCCAGAG